rnacentral:rRNA from 1 species
UACGUAGGUGGCGAGCGUUAUCCGGAAUGAUUGGGCGUAAAGGGUGCGUAGGCGGCCUGCUAAGUCUGGAGUGAAAGGUACCGGCUCAACCGGUACAGGCUCUGGAAACUGGCGGGCUAGAGAGCAGGAGAGGGCGGUGGAACUCCAUGUGUAGCGGUAAAAUGCGUAGAUAUAUGGAAGAACACCAGUGGCGAAGGCGGCCUGCUGGACGAUGACUAACGUUGAGGCUCGAAAGCGUGGGGAGCAAACAGG